rnacentral:rRNA from 1 species
CCUACGGGAGGCAGCAGUCGAGAAUCAUUCACAAUGGGGGAAACCCUGAUGGUGCGACGCCGCGUGGGGGAAUGAAGAUCUUCGGAUUGUAAACCCCUGUCAUGUGGGAGCAAAUUAAAAAGAUAGUACCACAAGAGGAAGAGACUGCUAACUCUGUGCCAGCAGCCGCGGUAAUACAGAGGUCUCAAGCGUUGUUCGGAAUCACUGGGCGUAAAGCGUGCGUAGGCUGUUUCGUAAGUCGUGUGUGAAAGGCGCGGGCUCAACCCGCGGACGGCACAUGAUACUGCGAGACUAGAGUAAUGGAGGGGGAACCGGAAUUCUCGGUGUAGCAGUGAAAUGCGUAGAUAUCGAGAGGAACACUCGUGGCGAAGGCGGGUUGCUGGACAGUAACUGACGCUGAGGCACGAAGGCCAGGGGAGCGAAAGGGAUUAGAUACCCCUGUAGUC